rnacentral:rRNA from 1 species
AUUGAACGCUGGCGGCAUGCCUUACACAUGCAAGUCGAACGGCAGCACGGGUGCUUGCACCUGGUGGCGAGUGGCGAACGGGUGAGUAAUACAUCGGAACAUGUCCUGUAGUGGGGGAUAGCCCGGCGAAAGCCGGAUUAAUACCGCAUACGAUCUACGGAUGAAAGCGGGGGACCUUCGGGCCUCGCGCUAUAGGGUUGGCCGAUGGCUGAUUAGCUAGUUGGGGGGGUAAAGGCCUACCAAGGCGUCGAUCAGUAGCUGGUCUGAGAGGACGACCAGCCACACUGGGACUGAGACACGGCCCAGACUCCUACGGGAGGCAGCAGUGGGGAAUUUUGGACAAUGGGCGAAAGCCUGAUCCAGCAAUGCCGCGUGUGUGAAGAAGGCCUUCGGGUUGUAAAGCACUUUUGUCCGGAAAGAAAUCCUUGGCCCUAAUACGGUCGGGGGAUGACGGUACCGGAAGAAUAAGCACCGGCUAACUACGUG